GGGGUAGAAGCUGUUCGUGGUCCUGUUCGUUCCAGACCCAUUUAGACAUGUCUCUAGAAAUGUAACGAUAGUCUACAAUUUAAAUACAUUUUAAGUGGCAAGAAUAAAUGCUAGAGUAGCCUAUUAUGCUUACAUUUAGGUCUCCCAAAACAGGUAGGCAUAUAACGCAUCAUUUUGACAAGCAAUAUUAUUUUGUAGAUUUAGUAAAUUUCAAGGGACCAACGCAACAAAUUCAAGGAUUUUGGCAACAUUAAAAAUCCCUGGUUCUAGGAGGAGGGCUUAAAUCAAUCAGCGCUAACUUCGACCAAUCCUGUUGACUGUGGGAGGAGACAGAAUUGCAAGGGGGUGUGUCUCUAGACAGUACGCAGUCGCUUAGUACCGUAUCCAACUCCGAGAGUAAUGAAUGGCAUGAGCAUUGCUUUACUAUUUUUGACAAGCCAUAUCAAAGCGCUACCUUGGAACAUACGCUACCUUCUAUCGGUUUGAACUUUUAUUCACAUUUAUUCACUAGGCAUAAACCAGACAAGGAGAAGAAGAAGACCGAGUUGGACUAAUUAGCCUACUACUAACUCGAAUCAAUAACUUAACCGCAAACUGACACAAGCUUCUACAUUUUCAUAUUUGUCAAGCCGAAAGGGAUUUUGUUUCUGGACAUGUGAAUCAAAGGAGUUACUGCGAACCCCUGAAAAUGAAGCUACUUGCAUCGGUUCUGUGUUGCUUGGGCUUUCUGCUCACUUCUGCGCUGUUUCGGAGGAUCUCUUCACAAGCAGCUUGAGCAGACGCUCAAAUGAACUAUCGAAGCUAGAAAUUCACCUGGCAGGAAGAAAGGAAAAGAGGAGAGAAGAGAAGAGAUUCUAAGAGGGGCAAACAGCAAAACAGGUUUGUUUGAGAGAGAGAGAGAGAGAGAGAGAGAGAGAAAUAUAUACAUUCUUAGUUUUAGCCAAUUAGUGUGAGAAGCCACUGGUAAUUAACUCUCCAGGGACCCAGAGGAAUAGUCAUGCACUCGUUUACAUAAUAACAGAGGGAGUGCUCCCUCUCUUCCUUCCCUUCUCUUCCCUCCCUUCUCUCUCUCUCUCGCUAUCUCUCUCCUCUCUCCGCUCUGGCCCCGUGGACUAAGCGAAAGAUGCCAAUGAGUAAUUCUUCACCCAGACAAAAAAAAGACCAUGAUUUUGAGGACUUUCAAAAAUGCUAUCUAUAGAAUAGUUAUUUGGAGGAAGGAUUAUUUACAUAUAUGUGACAUUUGUAUCUAAGUUAUUUAUCAAAGUUGGCCUAACCC
rnacentral:lncRNA from 8 species